AGUGAACGCUGGCGGUAGGCCUAACACAUGCAAGUCGAACGGCAGCACAGUAAGAGCUUGCUCUUACGGGUGGCGAGUGGCGGACGGGUGAGGAAUACAUCGGAAUCUACUUUUUCGUGGGGGAUAACGUAGGGAAACUUACGCUAAUACCGCAUACGACCUACGGGUGAAAGCAGGGGAUCUUCGGACCUUGCGCGAUUGAAUGAGCCGAUGUCGGAUUAGCUAGUUGGCGGGGUAAAGGCCCACCAAGGCGACGAUCCGUAGCUGGUCUGAGAGGAUGAACAGCCACACUGGAACUGAGACACGGUACAGACGACUACGGGAGGCAGCAGUGGGGAAUAUUGGACAAUGGGCGCAAGCCUGAUCCAGCAAUACCGCGUGGGUGAAGAAGGCCUUCGGGUUGUAAAGCCCUUUUGUUGGGAAAGAAAAGCAGCAGGUUAAUACCCCGCUGUUCUGACGGUACCCAAAGAAUAAGCACCGGCUAACUUCGUG
rnacentral:rRNA from 1 species